AUGAACGCUGGCGGCGUGCCUAACACCUGCAAGUCGAACGGAGAUUACGGACGGAAGUUUUCGGAUGGAAGACUGUAAUUCUUAGUGGCGGACGGGUGAGUAACGCGUGGGCAACCUGCCCUAUACAGGGGGAUAGCAGCUGGAAACGGCUGGUAAGACCGCAUAAGUCGGUUAAAUCGCAUGAUUUGAUCGGGAAAUGAGCAAUCAGGUAUAGGAUGGGCCCGCGUCCGAUUAGCCAGUUGGCAGGGUAAAAGCCUACCAAAGCGACGAUCGGUAGCCGGACUGAGAGGUCGGACGGCCACAUUGGGACUGAGACACGGCCCAAACUCCUACGGGAGGCAGCAGUGGGGGAUAUUGCACAAUGGAGGAAACUCUGAUGCAGCGACGCCGCGUGAGUGAAGAAGUAUUUCGGUAUGUAAAGCUCUAUCAGCAGGGAAGAUGAUGACGGUACCUGACUAAGAAGCCCCGGCUAACUACGUG
rnacentral:rRNA from 1 species